GAUGAACGCUGGCGGCGUGCCUAAUACAUGCAAGUCGAGCGAACGGACGAGAAGCUUGCUUCUCUGAUGUUAGCGGCGGACGGGUGAGUAACACGUGGAUAACCUACCUAUAAGACUGGGAUAACUUCGGGAAACCGGAGCUAAUACCGGAUAAUAUUUUGAACCGCAUGGUUCAAAAGUAAAAGACGGUCUUGCUGUCACUUAUAGAUGGAUCCGCGCUGCAUUAGCUAGUUGGUAAGGUAACGGCUUACCAAGGCAACGAUGCAUAGCCGACCUGAGAGGGUGAUCGGCCACACUGGAACUGAGACACGGUCCAGACUCCUACGGGAGGCAGCAGUAGGGAAUCUUCCGCAAUGGGCGAAAGCCUGACGGAGCAACGCCGCGUGAGUGAUGAAGGUCUUCGGAUCGUAAAACUCUGUUAUUAGGGAAGAAUAUAUGUGUAAGUAACUGUGCACAUCUUGACGGUACCUAAUCAGAAAGCCACGGCUAACUACGUGCCAGCAGCCGCCGUAAUACGUAAGUGGGCAGCGUUAUCCCGAAAUAUUUGGGCGUAAGCGCGCGUAGGCGGUUUUUUAGUCUGAUGUGAAAGCCCACGGCUCAACCGUGGAGGGUCAUUGGAAACUGGAAAACUUGAGUGCAGAAGAGGAAAGUGGAAUUCCAUGUGUAGCGGUGAAAUGCGCAGAGAUAUGGAGGAACACCAGUGGCGAAGGCGACUUUCUGGUCUGUAACUGACGCUGAUGUGCGAAAGCGUGGGGAUCAAACAGGAUUAGAUACCCUGGUAGUCCACGCCGUAAACGAUGAGUGCUAAGUGUUAGGGGGUUUCCGCCCCUUAGUGCUGCAGCUAACGCAUUAAGCACUCCGCCUGGGGAGUACGACCGCAAGGUUGAAACUCAAAGGAAUUGACGGGGACCCGCACAAGCGGUGGAGCAUGUGGUUUAAUUCGAAGCAACGCGAAGAACCUUACCAAAUCUUGACAUCCUUUGACAACUCUAGAGAUAGAGCCUUCCCCUUCGGGGGACAAAGUGACAGGUGGUGCAUGGUUGUCGUCAGCUCGUGUCGUGAGAUGUUGGGUUAAGUCCCGCAACGAGCGCAACCCUUAAGCUUAGUUGCCAUCAUUAAGUUGGGCACUCUAAGUUGACUGCCGGUGACAAACCGGAGGAAGGUGGGGAUGACGUCAAAUCAUCAUGCCCCUUAUGAUUUGGGCUACACACGUGCUACAAUGGACAAUACAAAGGGCAGCGAAACCGCGAGGUCAAGCAAAUCCCAUAAAGUUGUUCUCAGUUCGGAUUGUAGUCUGCAACUCGACUACAUGAAGCUGGAAUCGCUAGUAAUCGUAGAUCAGCAUGCUACGGUGAAUACGUUCCCGGGUCU
rnacentral:rRNA from 1 species